rnacentral:rRNA from 1 species
AUUGAACGCUGGCGGCAUGCCUUACACAUGCAAGUCGAACGGUAACAGGUCUUCGGAUGCUGACGAGUGGCGAACGGGUGAGUAAUACAUCGGAACGUGCCUAGUAGUGGGGGAUAACUACCCGAAAGAGUGGCUAAUACCGCAUGAGAUCUACGGAUGAAAGCAGGGGAUCGCAAGACCUUGUGCUAAUAGAUGGGGCGAUGGCAGAUUAGGUAGUGGGUGGGAUAAAAGCUUACCAAGCCGACGAUCUGUAGCUGGUCUGAGAGGACGAUCAGCCACACUGGGACUGAGACACGGCCCAGACUCCUACGGGAGGCAGCAGUGGGGAAUUUUGGACAAUGGGCGCAAGCCUGAUCCAGCAAUGCCGCGUGCAGGAUGAAGGCCUUCGGGUUGUAAACUGCUUUUGUACGGAACGAAAAGCCCUGGGUUAAUACCCUGGGGUCAUGACGGUACCGUAAGAAUAAGCACCGGCUAACUACGUGCCAGCCGCCGCAGUAACAC